AUGGUGGAGGACUUCACAUUCCCUACCAUGCCACCGGUGCCGUGCAGCGCCAAGAAGCUCCCUUUCCCUCACUUCACUUCGCCGCCGCCAUGGUUCGUCGUCCCGGUCGACGCGGGAGCGUACGACCAUCACCGGCGGUGCUUCUCGGCCACCGAGCAAGCCAACAACGACGUCUACCCGGGGCCGGGGGGGCGCUCCGAGAGGUUCGCCGUCAUGGAGGAGCACAAGAUGGACAUGCUGUGGGAGGACUUCAACGAGGAGCUGGCCCGGGCGCCGCAGCCGUGCCCACUGAGCAUGGAGUGGUCGAGUGAGGCGUGGCACGCCGGUGAAGGCGACGGAAUACCAUCCCGGUAUGUGGAUGUGGUGGCCGCCUCCGGUACCGGCAGCAGCGUGGUCCGGCGAAGGAGACUGAGCCUGAUGAUGAUGCUCAAGCUGCUCAAGAAGCUCUUCUUGGCACGCAAGUCCAGCACCACCUCAAGGAAGACGCCACCAAACUGA
rnacentral:rRNA from 1 species